GGAGGAUCCGAGCGUUAUCCGGAUUUAUUGGGUUUAAAGGGAGCGUAGAUGGAUGUUUAAGUCAGUUGUGAAAGUUUGCGGCUCAACCGUAAAAUUGCAGUUGAUACUGGAUAUCUUGAGUGCAGUUGAGGCAGGCGGAAUUCGUGGUGUAGCGGUGAAAUGCUUAGAUAUCACGAAGAACUCCGAUUGCGAAGGCAGCCUGCUAAGCUGCAACUGACAUUGAGGCUCGAAAGUGUGGGUAUCAAACAGGAUUAGAUACCCUGGUAGUCCACACAGUAAACGAUGAAUACUCGCUGUUUGCGAUAUACAGUAAGCGGCCAAGCGAAAGCAUUAAGUAUUCCACCUGGGGAGU
rnacentral:rRNA from 1 species